rnacentral:rRNA from 1 species
CAUGCAAGUCGAACGAUGAACCACUUCGGUGGGGAUUAGUGGCGAACGGGUGAGUAACACGUGGGCAAUCUGCCCUUCACUCUGGGACAAGCCCUGGAAACGGGGUCUAAUACCGGAUACCACUACCGCAGGCAUCUGUGGUGGUUGAAAGCUCCGGCGGUGAAGGAUGAGCCCGCGGCCUAUCAGCUUGUUGGUGAGGUAAUGGCUCACCAAGGCGACGACGGGUAGCCGGCCUGAGAGGGCGACCGGCCACACUGGGACUGAGACACGGCCCAGACUCCUACGGGAGGCAGCAGUGGGGAAUAUUGCACAAUGGGCGAAAGCCUGAUGCAGCGACGCCGCGUGAGGGAUGACGGCCUUCGGGUUGUAAACCUCUUUCAGCAGGGAAGAAGCGAAAGUGACGGUACCUGCAGAAGAAGCGCCGGCUAACUACGUGCCAGCAGCCGCGGUAAUACGUAGGGCGCAAGCGUUGUCCGGAAUUAUUGGGCGUAAAGAGCUCGUAGGCGGCUUGUCACGUCGGGUGUGAAAGCCCGGGGCUUAACCCCGGGUCUGCAUUCGAUACGGGCUAGCUAGAGUGUGGUAGGGGAGAUCGGAAUUCCUGGUGUAGC